rnacentral:rRNA from 1 species
CACUGCUCAAUAAAACAGUUAUGGUUUAUUUGGUGGUUCAUUGCUACUUGGAUAACCGUAGUAAUUCUAGAGCUAAUACAUGCGCGAAGGAGCGACUUACGAAGCUCUGUAUUUAUUAUAUUAAAGCCAAUCCCUUUGGGUCGUGGUGAAUCAUANUAACUUCUCGGAUCGGCGGCCCUGUUGCCAGCGACGUGUCAUUCAAAUUUCUGCCCUAUCAGCUUUAGAUGGUAGGAUAUGGGCCUACCAUGGCGGUGACGGGUGACGGAAAAUUAGGGUUCGAUUCCGGAGAGGGAGCCUGAGAAACGGCUACCACUUCUAAGGAAGGCAGCAGGCGCGCAAAUUACCCAAUCCUGAUUCAGGGAGGUAGUGACAAGAAAUAACAAUANNUCGCCCUANUGGUNAGCUAAUUGGAAUGAGUACAAUUUAAACAUCUUAACCAGCACCAAUU